AAACGGGACUAGCUAACAGUCGUGGGUCGUGGGUCGUGGGUAGAAUGUCGUGGGUCGUGGGUAGAAUGUCGUGGGUCGUGGGUAAAAAGGAGUGGGUCGUGGGUAAAAAGGCGUGGGUCGUGGGUAAAAAGGCGUGGGUCGUGGGUAAAAAGGCGUGGGUCGUGGGUAAAAAGGCGUGGGUCGUGGGUAAAAAGGCGUGAGUCGUGGGUAAAAAGGCGUG